UAGUGGGGGGGUAAGGCCUACCAAGACAAUGAUGCAUAGCCGAGUUGAGAGACUGAUCGGCCACAUUGGGACUGAGACACGGCCCAAACUCCUACGGGAGGCUGCAGUAGGGAAUCUUCCACAAUGGGCGAAAGCCUGAUGGAGCAACGCCGCGUGUGUGAUGAAGGCUUUCGGGUCGUAAAGCACUGUUGUAUGGGAAGAAAAGUUAAGGUAGGGAAUGACCUUAGCCUGACGGUACCAUACCAGAAAGGGACGGCUAAAUACGUGCCAGCAGCCGCGGUAAUACGUAUGUCCCGAGCGUUAUCCGGAUUUAUUGGGCGUAAAGCGAGCGCAGACGGUUGGUUAAGUCUGAUGUGAAAGCCCGGAGCUCAACUCCGGAAAGGCAUUGGAAACUGGUUAACUUGAGUGCAGUAGAGGUAAGUGGAACUCCAUGUGUAGCGGUGGAAUGCGUAGAUAUAUGGAAGAACACCAGCGGCGAAGGCGGCUUACUGGACUGUAACUGACGUUGAGGCUCGAAAGUGUGGGUAGCAAACAGGAUUAGAUACCCUGGUAGUCCACACCGUAAACGAUGAACACUAGGUGUUAGGAGGUUUCCGCCUCUUAGUGCCGAAGCUAACGCAUUAAGUGUUCCGCCUGGGGAGUACGACCGCAAGGUUGAAACUCAAAGGAAUUGACGGGGACCCGCACAAGCGGUGGAGCAUGUGGUUUAAUUCGAAGCAACGCGAAGAACCUUACCAGGUCUUGACAUCCUUUGAAGCUUUUAGAAAUAGAAGUGUUCUCUUCGGAGACAAAGUGACAGGUGGUGCAUGGUCGUCGUCAGCUCGUGUCGUGAGAUGUUGGGUUAAGUCCCGCAACGAGCGCAACCCUUAUUGUUAGUUGCCAGCAUUCAGAUGGGCACUCUAGCGAGACUGCCGGUGACAAACCGGAGGAAGGCGGGGACGACGUCAGAUCAUCAUGCCCCUUAUGACCUGGGCUACACACGUGCUACAAUGGCGUAUACAACGAGUUGCCAACCUGCGAAGGUGAGCUAAUCUCUUAAAGUACGUCUCAGUUCGGACUGCAGUCUGCAACUCGACUGCACGAAGUCGGAAUCGCUAGUAAUCGCGGAUCAGCACGCCGCGGUGAAUACGUUCCCGGGUCUUGUACACACCGCCCGUCACACCAUGGAAGUUUGUAAUGCCCAAAGCCGGUGGCCUAACCGUAAGGAGGGAACCGUC
rnacentral:rRNA from 1 species